GAGUAACGCGUGGAUAACCUGCCCAGAGGUGGGGGAUAACCCGGGGAAACUCGGGCUAAUACCGCAUGAUACCGAGAGGUCAAAGGGGGCUCGCAAGGGCUCUCGCCAUUGGAGGGGUCCGCGUCCGAUUAGCUAGUUGGUGAGGUAAUGGCUCACCAAGGCGACGAUCGGUAGCCGGCCUGAGAGGGUGAUCGGCCACACUGGAACUGAGACACGGUCCAGACUCCUACGGGAGGCAGCAGUGGGGAAUUUUGCGCAAUGGGCUAACGCCUGACGCAGCAACGCCGCGUGGAGGAUGAAGGUCUUUGGAUUGUAAACUCCUGUCAGCAGGGAAAAAGCGACUCGGUCUAACACACCGGGGAGUUGAUUGUACCUGCAGAGGAAGCCCCGGCUAACUCUGUGCCAGCAGCCGCGGUAAUACAGAGGGGGCAAGCGUUAUUCGGAAUUAUUGGGCGUAAAGGGCGCGUAGGCGGCUUCGCAAGUGGAUGGUGAAAUCCCUCGGCUUAACCGAGGAACUGCCGUCCAAACUGCGUUGCUUGAGGCCGGGAGAGGCGAGUGGAAUUCCCAGUGUAGCGGUGAAAUGC
rnacentral:rRNA from 1 species